rnacentral:rRNA from 1 species
GAAGGGCCAUCGCUCAACGGAUAAAAGGUACUCCGGGGAUAACAGGCUGAUACCGCCCAAGAGUUCAUAUCGACGGCGGUGUUUGGCACCUCGAUGUCGGCUCAUCACAUCCUGGGGCUGAAGUAGGUCCCAAGGGUAUGGCUGUUCGCCAUUUAAAGUGGUACGCGAGCUGGGUUUAGAACGUCGUGAGACAGUUCGGUCCCUAUCUGCCGUGGGCGCUGGAGAACUGAGGGGGGCUGCUCCUAGUACGAGAGGACCGGAGUGGACGCAUCACUGGUGUUCGGGUUGUCAUGCCAAUGGCACUGCCCGGUAGCUAAAUGCGGAAGAGAUAAGUGCUGAAAGCAUCUAAGCACGAAACUUGCCCCGAGAUGAGUUCUCCCUGAGACUUAGAGUCUCCUGAAGGAACGUUGAAGACGACGACGUUGAUAGGCCGGGUGUGUAAGCGCAGCGAUGCGUUGAGCUAACCGGUACUAAUGAACCGUGAGGCUUAACCUUACAACGCCGAAG